AUAUCCGACGACUGGUCCAUGUUCCGAUGAUCCGGUAACCCGACUGUCCAGCAAUUUGGUAUUACUGUUCCAGAGAUGUUUAUUCGGGUCUUAAUAUUUGUUUCUGGCUUUUUACUUUUAGACCAAAGGAUUAGACUUUGUUGCAAACAUCAUUCUCAACUCGUUCAUCAGACCAAAGCUUAACGAUGUUGGAAAUCGGGGACUACCAAUUACAAAAUUAGACAACGUCAAACUUGUGAACCCGAGUGUGGAACUAAUGCAGAAUUCCGUUGUGAUCGCUGCGGAUGUGGCGUAUCUGUAGUCCGCACAGAAGAUUCGGAGGACUUUCAUUGGAUAAAUCCAACGUCCAAGCACCAGUUUUAUUUUAUUGGUCGUCAAUGUCAGAUUUCUUUCACCAGUGACAGUAUCAAUGCAUUUCCACAACUUUGUGCGACUUUGUUUUUAACAGUGUAUUUACGUUUUUAUUACCACGAAUGCACUUGAUAUUCAAAGUUCUACCUAUAUGACAAGCAUUUUUAAAAUAUUCAUAUGGCCUAUUUAAAAACAAACUUUUAUAUACAGAAAUUGUUUUUGUAAUAAAAUCUUUUUUCUCUCCAGAACUGUAUUGUGCUCUAAAAAGCGUAGUGAGUAGGUGCUUUACAAAACACAGAUAGAACGUUAAAAUACUUGCGUUAAUAUUCGGACGGAUUAUAUUGUUUAACGAUCUUCGAA